rnacentral:lncRNA from 1 species
AAACAUCUAACAACAAAUUUUAAUUGUUAAAAGAUUCUUAAAGAAGAAGUAAGAGACUUGCUGGAUCCAUCCUCAAUGAACAAACAAGAUACUGCAAAUGGAAAUGGACAUGCAGGAAAAGUGACUAUUCCUGGGAAACCGCCAAUACAAAUUCGUGAGACGUCAAAUGGUGUAAUCACCUUAGCAGGAUCUACUGAAGUCAGCGUUACAUCACUAAAAGAAAUGGCUGCUUGCCUAGUACAAGGAUCAUUGAAUUGCCUGCCAAGUCAAUUUGUAAAAUGUAAAUGAAUGGAAUCCAUAAAACUGAACAACUUUUGUGAUAAAUGCACUCAGUUACAAAUGAAAUGAACUGUAUUUUUUGUUUGUAUUUUUGUUACUGUUGUUGUUGUUAUAUUGGAGUUACAAACACCUUGAUAGAGAAGGGGAAAGGUUGCCUGAUGGAGGAUUGCAACUCAAACUUCAACAUCGCACCCAAGGAAGCGUUUAGUAUCUUUCCAUGUAAACCGAAUGUGUGGAUGGCGACGACUUUGGAAACCUCCCUCUGUAGUUCCAAUUGGUUAAUAGUAUCCUUAGGUAGCUGGAAAUUUUGGGUGGGAUCAUAUGCUAAUUGUGACUAUAAUACAGGUACAAAUUGGUACUCAUUCCUUUACAUUUGAUCAUGUUUAUGGGAGUACUGGUUCUCCCCCGUCUGCCAUGUUUGAUGAAUGUGUUGCUUCUCUUGUUGAUGGCUUGUUCCAAGGAUAUAAUGCUACUGUUCUUGCAUAUGGUCAGGUAUAGUUAUAGCUAAAGGAAACAGAAGUUACAUGCCAAUAAACUUAUUUCUCUGUUACCUGACAUUUUCUCUCCAUUGCAGACUGGUUCUGGAAAAACAUACACCAUGGGCACUGGAUUUAAAGAUGGUUGCCAGACAGGAAUAAUACCUCAAGUUAUGAGUGUCUUGUUUAGCCAAAUUGAGACCUUAAAGCAUCAGAUUGAGUUUCAGCUGCAUGUUUCCUUUAUUGAGGUCUGUAGCUAACUUUGUUACAGCUUACAACCAUGGUUUUGAAAGUCUAAUCUUGCUUUAACAUCUGAAAGAGUGAAAGUAAUAAAUGCCAUAUUUGUGAAGUUGUUUAGACUAAACAUCUAACAACAAAUUUUAAUUGUUAAAAGAUUCUUAAAGAAGAAGUAAGAGACUUGCUGGAUCCAUCCUCAAUGAACAAACAAGAUACUGCAAAUGGAAAUGGACAUGCAGGAAAAGUGACUAUUCCUGGGAAACCGCCAAUACAAAUUCGUGAGACGUCAAAUGGUGUAAUCACCUUAGCAGGAUCUACUGAAGUCAGCGUUACAUCACUAAAAGAAAUGGCUGCUUGCCUAGUACAAGGAUCAUUGAAUAGAGCAACUGGGAGCACAAAUAUGAACAACCAAUCCAGGUUUCUUAUGCAUUUAUCAUAUCUUGUUUUGAUUGCACAAAUUCAUUAUCUGUUACGCAUAUAAAUAGGGAUUGGCCUUGUAAUUGAGAUAUGUUGAAUAUUGUUGAGAUAUGUUGAAUAUUGUUGAGAUAAUGAAACCCCUUCUAUCCCUUUGUUCUCUCUUCUCUGUCCCUAUUCCCUCUCUUCUCCCUCUCUCAGAUUCUGGUUAUAUCAUUAUCAUUCAUGAAAUGCUUUCUUAACUCACUUUUGGAUUCAUAAACCAAGUGUUGAUAGAUAUGCUUCGAAAUUAUUAUUAGAGGAUGAGUUUUGUACGAUAGAUAUGCUUAUAAAAAAUUAAUUGAGGAUGAGUUUUGUAAUGUGACAUUUAGAUAAUAAAGAAAAAUAUACAAAAGAUAUGAUGUUUAUAUUACUUUUUGGUUUUAAACCCUGCUGAUGGUUUAAACUUUAGCAGUCAGACUGAAAAUUGUAUCAUUUCCUUUAAAACCAGUUCCACAUCAGUUGUUUUGGAUUUCUUAUUAGAAUGGUUAGUAGAUGGAACUUUAGGCAUUGCAAGAAUGCAGUUUGCUGCACCUGUUGAUUUUUGUCAUCGAAUCUUCCAGAAAUUUACUAGUUGUGUCAGUGUUUAAAUUCUGUUGCUGUUAAUUUUGCUGGACUUCUCAUCCAUAAAUUUUUGUUCUUCUGUUAUUGUCCAUCUA